UCUAGAGAUGAUCAAAUUAGGAUCUCAAACAAUAGCUACAAUUUAGGAGGUCUUGCCAGAUGAAGAUUACUCUUCAAUAGAAGUCACUGAAUCCCAUGUUAGGUUACAGAAAGUAUUUGGAAGGAAAUAAGCUUUAGUAAAUACGGGGGUCAAUUGACUGAACUGAUUGUGGAUAAAAUUUGUGUGGCAGCUAAACAAGAAUAAUUCACUAUCUCCCUUAUAAUACAUUAUCAUUAGCAGUUUCUUCCAAACAAGAAUCCCCUUAGCUCCCCCACUCUCUCUUUUCUUCCCCCAGACAAAGAAGAGCACUCCUUGUUUUACCAUUUGAGAGUACCUAUUGGCAAAAGGGACACCAAAUGACAGUAGCAUUGGCUAGGGCAGCCCAGAGGAUGGACCUGAAAUACUUUUUAAUGCCAGUGGUCACUGGUUGGUAAUUAGUUCAAUAAAGCUCAAGGAAUUUUGUUGGGAAGUAUCCUUUCAUGCCAUUGUUCAAAUAAAAGCUCUGACCUUACCUCUUGUUUUAGAGUACUCAUCUUAGUUGCAAACAGUCAUAUCUGAAAUCCAAGCAUUAAAUGUGUAAUGCUGAAGCUUCAUUACAGAAAGCUACUUCCCUCUAGUAUUCCAUAUGUUAACAAUGUUGAAAUGUCCGCUUAACCAUGAAACACCUGCAACAUCAUAACUAUUUUGAGCUACUUAUUUUGUCAUGUGCACGCCUAUGUUGAAACUGAUGAAAGUACUUGCGAUAAGGUGUUAUAGGACACGGGGGAUAUUAAGGUUGGAAAUGUACAAGUACCAAGAGAAUUUUGUUUCUGUUUUUGCCACGCAUCUCCGUAACUGUGGCAAAAGUGAAUUUGCUUUUAGAUUUAGAAUCAGUUCUAUUGCAUGUGUAUGUUUAGUGAUCUGAUUAUUGAUAAGAGCCUUCUCUUCCUACCUCAUGGAUUGCAGUCAAAGCGUCUCCCUUAUAGAGAUUAUACAAAGUCAACAUCUUUAAAUCUUUCUGGGUUCUCUCAUAGCUCUUGGAUCGGUGAAAUGGAGCAAGCUUCUGACAAAUCAAUAAUCAUUGGUGAAAUCCUGGAUUCUUGGACUGGAAACCUGGUCUCAGUGUCCAGAAUCAAUGAUUGUGUUACCAAAUCAACUGGUGAGUAUGGCACUGGCAAUGUUGGCUGAAGGCAAGCAAGAAAAUCGUGUUCUAGAUAAUUCGUUGCUGUGGAGGGGAAUGAGAUGUGUAUUAAACCUGCAGAAUUCGAUCUAUUUGACUAGGAAGAGCUUUCUUUUUACGAAACAAUAAUCAGGGGACGUCAAAGAAACGAAAUUGUGAUUUGGUAUCGCCUUUCAAAUGCAAAUCAUGUGAUAAUUAACCCUCCAGAGAAGUCAAAACCAAGAAAAUGGCCCCUUGAUGAUGUUUUUGUUGUCAUCUCCUUGGGUGAAUGACUGUAAACAAUUGAUGGUUUCUGGUAUCAUAGCAUCUAUUAGUCUUUUCUUUAUAUU